rnacentral:lncRNA from 1 species
UGUGAGCCUGCCGGACUCCUCUGUCCAUGGGAUUCUCCAGGCAAGAAUACUGGAGUGGGUUGCCAUGCCCUCUUCUGGGAGAUCUGCCUGACCCAGGGAUCAAACCUAUGUCUUCUGCGGCUCCUGCAUUGCAGGCAGAUUCUUUUCACCUGAGCCACCAGGGAAGCCCCAGGGAUUUACAAUCAUCCUGAUCCCUAUUUGCACAGAAGCAGCUUUGGAGCCUGACAGAAGCUAUUGAGCCCAACAAACAUCUUGCAACCCAAACUCCAUCACACAUCAGUUUCCAGAAAACUCAACCCAUGCCAGGAGGGGAGGACUGUGACCCUGCCAAGAGGGAGAGCAAGGGAACUUUGCAGAGAACAGGUGCUCACAUUUCGGUGGCAGAGAAUUAAGGAGUCCACAGGCAUCCACGGGGCAGGAGAACAAGCGGAAUUCUGGAGCCUCAGGAAGACAAGACAGGCGUUGGCAACCAGAUGGGGCAAUGAGCCCGAUAUGACGCCACUAGGUGCCCCUAACCCGCUCCCUGGGGCAGGAUGUCAGGUCCGGUGUGGGCAGCUGAAGCCAGUAGGUGAGAGGGCAGCUUUCAGAUUCUGAGAUAUCUUUGAAUUAUGACCUCUGAGGAAGCUACGGACAAGCAAAAUCAAGGACAAUGGCACACGUUACCGUACAUCAAUGUAGCAAAUUGAUUCUACAAGAGUCUCAGCUCACAGCAGAUAGUGUGACCUAAAGAGUUUUACUUGCUUUUCUUGCACUGGCCUGCAUCUUAACUGGUAAGUAUUUGAUGAUGGGAAACCUCACUCUCCAUUUUAAACAAGGUCGUUUUCUGACUUCAGUCUUAUUUCUUUGAAUUCCUGGCCCAUCCUCCCUCAGAUUUCAAUCCUGCAGGCAGGUGCCGGCCCGAGAACUUCAUGGGGCACAUUUCUUAGUGCCCCUUGGGCCAGGUCAGAGAUUGAGCACGGAACCAAGGCAGAUGUCUUGUGUGUUUCCUUGAUGGGUAAUGGGAGGCCUCACAGACUUAUUCCAGGGGUCUUACUGAG